AUUGAACGCUGGCGGCAUGCCUUACACAUGCAAGUCGAACGGCAGCACGGGAGCAAUCCUGGUGGCGAGUGGCGAACGGGUGAGUAAUAUAUCGGAACGUGCCCAGUCGUGGGGAUAACGUAGCGAAAGCUACGCUAAUACCGCAUACGAUCUACGGAUGAAAGCGGGGGACUCGCAAGAGCCUCGCGCGAUUGGAGCGGCCGAUAUCAGAUUAGGUAGUUGGUGGGGUAAAGGCUCACCAAGCCAACGAUCUGUAGCUGGUCUGAGAGGACGACCAGCCACACUGGAACUGAGACACGGCCCAGACUCCUACGGGAGGCAGCAGUGGGGAAUUUUGGACAAUGGGCGCAAGCCUGAUCCAGCAAUGCCGCGUGCAGGAUGAAGGCCUUCGGUUGUAAACUGCUUUUGUACGGUAACGAAACGGUGAGCGUCUAAUACAGUUUG
rnacentral:rRNA from 1 species